UGGGGUGAAGGCAGUGUUGUUGCUGAGGUACUGACACCACGAGGGUUGUGGUGUGGGGUGAAGGCGACGUAAGGCGUUAGGACUGCUACACGGACAAGCCCGCAACGAGGACAUUUGCGGAUUGGGUGAGGGAGAAUGUCACGGGCCAGCUUCCUAGUCCCUCCCCAAGUGCGAUAAUGGAGUUCCUAUGACUGUAUACCAAUUGCCUUUAUUGUACGUGGGCUAAUAUGAGUUGCUCUAUCAUAGGUACGUACUUUGGGUGGUGUAUUUUAUAUCGGUUGGAUAUCUGUGUUAGCCAGUUAAUCCUGGGGAGGGCUGGUCAUGCCACUAAUCAGCAGAAUGAAUGGGAACAAAUGAUUACUGAAUGGAAACACCGACUCAUUGACUAAUAAAAGAUGUAAAUUGUUAUGAAGUUCUACUCUCUUUUUUUCUUUUUCUUUUUUGGGUGCAUUGUACUUUUAAUUUUUUGGAUCAAAUCCAGCAGUGCUCUUAUUGAUACUCAAUAUAAGCUUCAAAAAGCCUCAGUACAUCGGGAAACAUUUGAUCUAAAGAAAAAACAUGCAGGACUAAAGAGUCACACAGACCUCAAUACAACACAUCAGCAAUUAAUGUUCAGCAAAUAUCCACACCCCAAGCUGCCAAACAUCUUCUUUGAUGGCCCUGCGUGACUUUCCUCUGCAUAUUUGGGACCCCCAACAGUCUGUUUUUUGACAGCAUUCUCAAUCAAUCCCCAGACCCUAUCAACAGAGGAUUAUGUUCUAUUAUUAUGAUUUUAAUAUCAAGGAUGUACAAUAGAAAAUAUCUUUUGGAAUCGGGUCGGGUCGGGUAUCUUAAAAAGUUGGGGUAGAAAUUUUUAUUUGUCUUUUGGUGAUCUUGCAAGGACCACAUCGCUGUUGUCCUCACUAUAUUAUAUAUUAUAACCCAUAAAAAGUAAAGGAGAAUAUUGGAAAUGUGGACGAACUGUUCCAGAGGCUGAGCCUUUCUCGGUCUACAUGAGGAAAUAAAAUCGAACUUCUCUUUAAAGUUUUGUUCAAUUGAGAUGGAAAAAUGCCCUAAAAAAUAAAAGAAGGGAAUCCAAUAUUAAAGGUUUAAUCAUAUUGAAACUAAGCCAACCGUAUAAAAUUGUGUCGAUGCAAAUGUACCGGGGAGCCUCGAUGCUCGUAUCUCUGGACGCCCGCACGGGCAUCGAUCAGGGACAAUGCUGAUCUUCCAAAGUUCUUAUCUCAAAUCUCGAAAGCCUUCAAGGAGCACACCUAAGGAAGACCUGCUCAGCUCCAACAGGCUCGGGAAGACAACAGCCGUGACGGUUCAGUUCAACAAAGACACAACCAGCAUGGCACCAGUAGCAAAAGAGCCGCUCAUGUUCCUGUAGAACUCCCUGGAACUGAUUGGAUCCUGCGCCAAACAGAUACCUCUUGGAGCACGGAUAAAGCAAGCGUGGCAGGGAUCGCACAAGACAGCUGUGGCUCUAUCAUUGAGGCAGGGUGUGCACCCGAAUCUGUGACCGCAACACUGCAGGCUGAAGCUCACGGAAUCCUACUGGCUUUGUCAUUGGCUCAGCAGCAUGGAUGGUCCAAAGUUUGGCUGCAAAGUGAUUCCCAGCUCUUAGUUAAUAUGAUUUUAAAGCCCUCUACAAUCCAUUUGGAUGUUUUGAACCUUAUUGUAGAUAUUAUGGCUUCCUUUAGUCUUUUUCUCGGAAUGGCUCUGUACUUGGGUUUCUCAAACGGGAAACAAACCCGCGCAUGAGCUGAGUCAUCUCUGCUUCAUGGCAAAUUUUGAUGACCUUGGCCUGUUCGAAGGCUUUCCUUGUAACGAUGCCCUCUAGUUUAUGAAUAAAAUCACGAAUCAUUCAGCCAAAAAAAAAAGAAAGAGCUAGCAGGCGUCUUCCACUA